GAAUGUGAGGGUGAUCGGGCUGCAACAUCUGUCACCCCAUUGACUGCAAAGGUUGAUUCAGCUGAUCUGGCUGGCUAGGCGGGUAUCCCCUUCCUGCCUCACUACUCCAUGUGCAUCCUUCCCCAAACUGCAUGCUUGGUUGAAGAGUAUGACCUUCCCUGAUAAAGGAAGACAGUUCUUUGGUCAAGGAUAUACAAGUAGCUGUGCUCCCCAGCUUGAACUUCCAAACAAGCUCUCAAGGUCCAUUUAUAGAAGAAUGUAGGAUAGUCAAGCUUCCAAGACUCCUUACACAUCCAAACGGGGUGCUGCAUUUGGCAGUCUGCCUUUCUUU
rnacentral:snRNA from 1 species